AGGAAGCACCGGCUAACUCCGUGCCAGCAGCCGCGGUAAUACGGAGGGUGCAAGCGUUGUUCGGAAUCACUGGGCGUAAAGCGCGUGUAGGCGGCCUUCUAAGUCAGAUGUGAAAGCCCUUAGCUCAACUAAGGAAUUGCAUCUGAAACUAGUUGGCUUGAGUACGGGAGAGGAGAGUGGAAUUCCCGGUGUAGAGGUGAAAUUCGUAGAUAUCGGGAAGAACACCGGUGGCGAAGGCGGCUCUCUGGACCGAUACUGACGCUGAGACGCGAAAGCGUGGGGAGCAAGCAGGAUUAGAUACCCUGGUAGUCCACGCCGUAAACGAUGGACACUAGGUGUGGAGGGUAUUGACCCCCUCUGUGCCGUAGCUAACGCA
rnacentral:rRNA from 1 species